rnacentral:lncRNA from 1 species
UCAAAUUUGAGCCUACAUCAAAACUUUCACAGGAAAAUGUUGUUUUGAUGCCCAAAUAUCUUCAAAUCGAUCAUCUUGACAUCGAUAUGCAUGAACAUAAGAAAAAAUGGAUUUAAAGUUUUGGAAAUAGUGUAUUUUGUAACACAUUUUUGGACUGUCAAUUUUCAAUUUUUUCAAGAUUUCAUAGAUCCGUUGAUCUAUACUAUUCUUAAAGCUUUAAAAUUUAUAAAUAAAUAUGAAAAUAUAUUUCAAUGCUAUCACAAAAAUUUCCAAUAUUAAAACUACAUUUCUCGACUUUAUUUGAAGGUAGGCUCUAAUUUGAUUGUUUAGAGCCUAGGCUCUAUACAAACUGCACCCAAUUUUAAAACUGUUCAUUUUAAAAUGGUGGGCCUGUUAUUUUGCAAUGCCUCCCCUGAAGCACAUAAAGAGAGGGACAUUUUAGAGAGAAAAAAGCCUUGGAAUAAAU